AAAGCGAGAGAGCAUAUCUUAUUUCUCUAGAUUUUGGACGGCACAACGCCGAUCGUGUGGCCUAUGAACGAAAAACGGGAGAAGGGGAAACCGAUAUCCUUCGAGUGACACACACGCAUGCAUCUGCAUGCGUAUUCCGCUAAACCGAGACUGCCCAUCUCUCUCGAUCUCCCAAGAUUUUUCUGCUAUCGCGCUCAUCCGGGUGUUAGGCAUCCUCAGUCUGUCCAGAACUUUCACUGUGGAAGGAUGUGUUGGAGUGAUGUGUGAUUUCUUGUGCCCCGUACUUUGCUCGUUUACGUUUUGUGCCGUGUUCCUUCUUCUUCAAUAAUGGAAUGAUGUAUCCUUGUAAAUUUCUAAGUUACAGUGCACGCGCAUGUUAAUCGACGGUUGCCAACAUCCCGCUAAACGAUCGACGGAAGGAAAACGGUGUCCGGUUUUAAAAUAUAAAGAUUUCAUUACAGCUCUUUGGUAGAAGAGCGCACUUCAAGGACGACUAGGAUACGGCUAAACAUGCGCAGCACCAGUCCGUGACGUCAUUUCCAGACAGGCGCCGGCUGAACACGCGCAGCACCAGUCGAGGAUAUCCUAGCGCAGAGGGUAGAAGGAAGAACGAGAGGAAGGGUAACAGAAAGCAACCGCAGCAUUUGGAAGGGGUGAAGCAUCCUGCCGUAUACAGAGUGUGAGUGUGCCAAAACGCAUGUGGAAAGAGUAACACCAAUAAAUAGCAUGCGAAAGUGUGCAUAAAGCAAAAAGAAAAAGCGUCACUACUACAACCAGCAAUCCGAAAAUAUAAGGGGAGGGAUAAAUACAAAUGUAUGCGUAAGCAGGACCAGCAAUCCAAGCAUUUGAAUGUGUGCGUCGGUUUGUGCCGUGCUGAAAGUUUUUACUUUAGCUGCUGCUAGUGUAAAAACUUAAGGAAAGCUUAAUGUAAAAAAUAUUUACACGGGGCGCCUUCGGAAAUUGUUGGCUGGGACAAGGGCGCAGACAUUUUCAUGAUUUUGUAUGACUUCGGCUGUUUUGGACCAUACGUUUAGGCGCAGGCAGUUGGCGAAAUUAUUCAACCGAUCCGUCGGGUCCCGAAGCCGAAGCAAACCCGAAGCCGAAGCAAAACCCGAACGGGGUUCGGCACGACCCUUCGUUAAAAUAGCCCCCUCCCCCUUUUUUGCCAGGAUUUCUUUCCGAAAUGAUACAGUGCACAGAAUUAUACCACAACAAUUCUAUUUAUUGAAUUUAAUAACAUUAAUCUAACAAGUUUCACAAAAAUCAAAAACACAUGCACUACGAACAAUGAACUUAAUUUCACAUUAACGCACAUUAAUUCAACACACACUUUCCACACUCGCACAGUGAAUAAAAUCACAAAAUCGUCGCAACACUUUCAGCUCUUCCUCGCUGUUGCGCCUAGUUCCUUUCGCUACACUGUACGGGCCACCAUUUCGAACACGACACAGCCACAGGUUUUGUUGUCUCCGUUCGCCGUGAAACACACAUGAAAUGGAAGAAAAAUUAUAUUAAUUAGAAGGGGGGAUGUAGGUUGAUAAUUUUAAUCACUUUUACUUACCUCAAAUAAAACAAAAUUCCAUUUUUUACGGGGUUUAUCCGCUGACUACCAAGCGCUGAAACAUCACACAAGCACCAACCUCACUGGACUGAAAGUGAAGCCUACUGCGUGAAUGUGUGUAAGCGCUUCUGCCAAGCCAACCGCGCCGUACUGCGUGUGUAGCCAAGUACGUGUGUGUGUGUAUAUUUGCACCACUGGACACAGAACACAAACCUCACCGCACAGCAGAGCGUGUGUCGCCAAGUGUAUGCAUGUGUGUAUUUGCACCACUGAAUUCUGAACGUCCACCGCACCGCACCACACAGCGUGUAUCGCCAAGUGCGUGGCUGUGUGUAGUAUCACCGUGGACUGCAGAAAACUACCUGCACUAGAACAGAGCGCUGGUGUGGCCAAAUGUGUGCAUGUGUGUACUUGCUCCACUGAAAGCCGGUAUCGCACCAGAUUUCGGGUGUCGCCUUGUGCGUGCGUGUGUGUUAUUCUCAC